GCGGGGCUCACGGGAGCGGCGUGGCGGAGCAGCGACCCCUGCUGGAUGUCUCACUUCGGCGGACUGCGCGGAGAACAAGCCGGGGCGGAGUGUAGCCGGGAAGGCAGCGCCGCGUGUUUGUUUCCACGUGGUCUUUGGAUUUUAUGCCGUCACAAACCCCUUUGAACAUCUUUGAGAGUUAUAACGUCUCCAGAAAAAAGAAGAUACCUGCCAGAAUUUACUGAUGAAAUAAGGACCUGCAUUGACCGACCUGCCGGACUGGACAAGUGGCACCCAACAUGUGUGGCCUGAGUACGAGGGACCCGGUGAAAAACACCGAUCGAGGAAGAAAGAGAAGAAAGAAGAGAAAAAAGGUAGCUACUGAAGUUUAAAAGAAAUUAAAAAGAGUCAACUGUGCUGGUACCUGCCGCUUAGCCCACGGCUCGGGUGAAAAGAGUCAACUGCGCGGGAACCUGCCGCGUAGCCCACGGCUCAGAUGAGUGAUUGGUGAUUUUAGGGCAGGUAUUAAACAAAUGGUCUAAGCAGAGACCCUCAGGGCACAGGGAGAAUAGGUUAAGAAAAAGCAAUUAUUAGAAUUUUUCAGUUCCUCCA